UUCCUUGCUUCUUCUCCUGUGGCUUCUGCUUAAUCUUUCCUUUUCUCCAUCCUCCCUCUUUCAGAAAGUACUACCAAAUAACCUCUCCCUUUCCCUUGUCCCAUCUUUUCCCUCUUUCCUCCUCCUUAUUCUUUCCCUUUCUUUCUCGACCCUUAAAUCCAAUGCCAACAGUCCCUCAUGUGCUACUCAGCCACCUGAACAGCGAACCAGUGCCCACUGCCAGUAUGACCCGAUUGGCUCGAUCUCGCACUCACUCUGCCUCCAGCAUGGGCUCAGCAGACGGCUCCCGCAGCCGCGCACAUACCAGUUCACAGAUGGAGGGCGCCACUGGCGGUCCGGUCAAUGACAACCAGACCAGACCGCAGACCAUGGAGGUGUCCUGCUAAAGCACCCAGAACCAAGCCACCAUUUCACCUGGGAUCAUCCACGUGUGGCACUUCUGCACUUCAGAUGGCUUUCUGUCCAUUUUGGGGUUUUGUUUCCACUGUUACUCGUUCUACUUGUUCUCCUGUGGCCAGAGAGUGCUGGUCUAAUGAAGGGAUGCAUUGUUUGAUGUCUAGUAAUCCAUGUAUUUUACAUAUUGGAAUAUUUUUCCACUGCAUGGAGGCACUAAUCUUUUGCUGAUGUUUUUACCUUGAUUUGAAUUGGCUUACUACUUUAUUUCUCCAUUCUGUUAUAUUUGUGUCAUCCUUUGGAGAUUCAUUUCCACUAUGGAUAUGCUUCUUGUGUGUAUAUUUUGCUGGAGGCUGUUAUAUUUUGAACAUUAAGAGGGUGUUCUUGUUUGUAGCCGGAGAGAUUUAGUUCCCUCUCUUGCUCUCUCUAAGGUCUUCCUGCCCCGUGUUUACUAUAGAGAUGACCAAACCACUUCACUUUCUCCUAAUCCAAUUUUUUAGUUCAGUUUCUGCUGCUCUCAACCUAUGCUAUCGGCUAUUAUAGUUUGCUAUUAAUUGACUGUCUGUCAUUUGUAGUGUUACUAGAAAACGUAAUCUACUGGCUAGCAUGUCCCUAUUUAAAGUGUACAGUAGACAUUUAUGUUAGUAUUACUUAUAUUUAAUCUUUCUGCAAAUGGUUUAUUCAGUUUAAUUAAAUUCUGUGUAAAUGGAGAACUUGUAUUGAGUUUUAGACCAGAACCCCCUAAUAGCAAAGACGUUGCUUAGGUUUGCACUUAACUUGAUGUAAAAUAUUUUUCACAGCCUGUGCUUGGGAGAUCAGCUACACCAAACAAGUAACAAGUAACUGAAGCUAAGAUCUGCAGCUUGUUCAGAUAACAUUUACCAUAGAGGGCAUCUGGAGGUAUAAAACGGCAUGAUUCCUCUAAAGGCACUAGACCGUAGUGGUAAAUGAUCUGUAUACUUUUGGCUUAAGAGUCUCUAUUCUUUCUGUACAGCGGGCUGAUGUUCCUAUAACCUCUUAAUAUUUUGACUACUGUUAGAUUUUGACGUUUUAUUGUUCUUGGCAUUUAUUUCAAUGGAUGGCAAUUCCCUGUUGAUUUGCUGAUUGUACCUCUGCCUUGAGUGAGUUUGUGAUGGUGGGUUGUGCUUUGUCCUCCAAGCAUUUAGGGGGCGCUGUACUGCAUACUAUCUACUGAGUAUACCGAUUUGUACGAAUAUUGAAAUAAAGUAGUUGUACAUAAAACUUG